rnacentral:rRNA from 1 species
AACGAACGCUGGCGGCAUGCCUAACACAUGCAAGUCGAACGAUACCUUCGGGUCUAGUUGCGCACGGGUGCGUAACGCGUGGGAACCUUCCCUUAGGUUCGGAAUAACUCCCCGAAAGGGGUGCUAAUACCGGAUAAUUUCUUCGGACCAAAGAUUUAUCGCCUUUGGAUGGUCCCGCGUUGGAUUAGCUAGUUGGUAGGGUAAAAGCCUACCAAGGCGAAGAUCCAUAGCUGGUCUGAGAGGAUGAUCAGCCACACUGGGACUGAGACACGGCCCAGACUCCUACGGGAGGCAGCAGUUGGGAAUAUGGGACAAUGGGCGAAAGCAUGAUCCAGCAAUGCCGCGUGAGUGAUGAAGGCCUUAGGGUUGUAAAGCUCUUUUACAAGGGAUGAUAAUGACAGUACCGGGAGAAUAAGCUCCGGCUAACUCCGUG